CUGGUAAUAUUAUAUUGCUCUGCCAUUUUGUUUAGUCUUAAAUUUCUAAUUGAUCUAAUUGAUCUGAGGUUUUACAGCAAGAUGUCUAAAAAGCACUUAUGAACUUUGCAUUUGAAACAUCAUUAAAUAUUAUUUAAGGCUGUUUUAAGUAGUGCAAUACACCAUCUCCACCAGUGAGAGAAAGCAGUGCACCAACAGGUAUGCAGUGUGUUGGUGAAGAAGAAAUCUCCCAUCUUGUGAGGCCGACCCAACACAAGUUAUAUCUGCCUGUUUAAAAAGAAGCCAAAGUUUGUCACCUAAUACAUAUGAGCUUUAGCCACAUGAAGACCCAUUUUAGUCAAAGGACAUAUGGUGGGGAGUGGGGUGGACAAAGAUGGCUAAUGAAGACAUGCUACAGGUGUGGAGGGUGCUAAUGAGGACCAGCCAUGAGAGAAAGUAGUCCCUGUUUGACCAAAGAAAAGGAAGCAGAUGAAAUAUUCCCCAAGAAAAUUAGUGACCUCAGUGGAUUGAGUCAUCACCCACUAUGAGAAUGUCCAGAAGAGAUUCACCAAGUUUGUGUCAUAAAAUGUGGGGUGUGGUGGUGAGGCAAACGCCAUAGACCCAGGUUGAAGUGAAUGAAAUGAAGAUUUAAUGAAGAAUUACCAGAAUAAACACAGUCCAAUACAAUCCAAAAUGCCAGGCAGGACGGCCGAGUGGACACCAGGGCUCAACGCGAGUAGCAACCGGAUGAACGGCGGAAGAGGCGGACUGGCCACACAGACGACAGUGACAAA